AUACUCUGGUUGCUCUUCAGAUUGUAUACAUCUUUCACUUUUUACUAAAGACUUCCAUAGAGAGAAACGAUUCUGAGACUUAACCCUUUUUUUUUUUUUUUGAGACAGAGU